CUGGAGCGUGGAGGAUGGAUGGUCGACCAGUGGAAAGUAAUUGUUUAUAAUGUACUUCACCUGGUCCACUAGCCGUCUGCGCCCACUGCAG
rnacentral:pre_miRNA from 1 species